UUUAUUGAAAACCCAAUGCUUAUUAAAGGCUAUGCAAUAGAAGAUCCAUUGGGUGCUUGGCUGCUGAGUGGCCCUGGUCUGGAGACAGGAGAGGAAUCCAGGUCUUUGAAGACCCAAGCACUAUCCAAUGAGCUCUGCUCCCAAAACACUGGCUGGUCUGAGCUUUUAUCAAAUCUAAGUGUUCUUUAACUCCUGCUGACAAGAGCAAUCUGAAUCCUCAGAGGUCUUGAGUAAAGAGGAAACCUGCAGGGACCAGGUUAAGUUGAAAGAGUGAGUAACUGCAAUAUUCUGUAAUUACUUCUACAAUGCUCUCCUUCCAGUAGUCUCUUGUUCAAGG
rnacentral:lncRNA from 1 species